CUUGGACAACUCCCUCAGGUCAAUAAACCGACACACAUCUCACUGCAGGUGAACAGGUGUGCGCAAUCACCCCAGGGGAAGCAUGUAUCCUACAGUGUGGGCAGUAUCAGACGGAAAGACAUAGGAUGAGAAGGGGAUACAGGAAAUUAGUUUAAAGAGUAUAUUGAGUAGAACGUUAUUAGGUACAGUCUCAAAUAUUUUGUUAUAUUUUGUAAGAGCAACGGUAUGAUUUAGUUCCCUGUCUCUGGCCCACACUCCAGUACAGUAGGUAGCGGUAAUGCACCAUAACUUUGGAUGCCAACCGCCGGUAAACACCACCGAAGAAGAAGACGAAUCAACUCAGGCCUGUCAAAACCCAGAAGGGAAAUGUAAGGGGGCUUGGAAGAAGUCCCCAGCCUCUGUCUCCAGCAUUCCCGAACUCUUCCACUUGACUGGCUUCUUGGAACAGAACAGUUUUAAAGGUCCAAUGCAGCUGUUUUUAUUUCAAUAUCAAAUAAUUUCUGGGUAACAAUCAUGUACCUUACGGUGAUUGUUUUCAAUUAAAAUGGUCAAAAAGAAACAAAAAUAGCUUAUUUUUAUUGUUAAAAUAUCACAUUAUUAUUACAACCUAAUAGUGUGAAAAGUUAUAUAGAACACAGGAAAAUCACAGUCUUUACUGCACUGGGUCUUUACCAGUUCUCUGCUCAGUGUUCCAUGAGUUUAGGG
rnacentral:lncRNA from 8 species